rnacentral:rRNA from 1 species
CCUACGGGAGGCUGCAGUGAGGAAUAUUGGUCAAUGGGCUUACGCCUGAACCAGCCAAGUCGCGUGAGGGAAGACUGCCCUAUGGGUUGUAAACCUCUUUUGUCAGGGAGCAACGCCGGCUACGUGUAGCCGGACUGAGAGUACCUGAAGAAAAAGCAUCGGCGAACUCCGUGCCAGCAGCCGCGGUAAUACGGAGGAUGCGAGCGUUCUCCGGAUUUAUUGGGUUUAAAGGGUGCGUAGGCGGAAUGCCAAGUCAGCGGUAAAAUCGCGGGGCUCAACCUCGCGCCGCCGUUGAAACUGGCGUUCUUGAGUGGGCGAGAAGUAUGCGGAAUGCGUGGUGUAGCGGUGAAAUGCAUAGAUAUCACGCAGAACUCCGAUUGCGAAGGCAGCAUACCGGCGCCCAACUGACGCUGAAGCACGAAAGCGUGGGGAUCGAACAGGAUUAGAUACCCUGGUAGUC